rnacentral:rRNA from 1 species
AUUGAACGCUAGCGGGAUGCUUUACACAUGCAAGUCGAACGAGUGGCGGACGGGUGAGUAAUGUAUGGGGACUGCCCGAUCGAGGGGGAUAACUACUGGAAACGGUAGCUAAUACCGCAUACUAUCGGAUAACCCAUAUGGGAUUAGCUAGUAGGUGAGGUAAUGGCUCACCUAGGCGACGAUCCCUAGCUGGUCUGAGAGGAUGAUCAGCCACACUGGGACUGAGACACGGCCCCGACUCUUACGGAGGCAGCAGUGGGGGAUAUUGCACAAUGGGCGAAAGCCUGAUGCAGCGUCGCCGCGGGGGGGAUGAAGGCUUGCGGGUUGUAAACCUCUUUCGUUAUCGAAAGGGUAGGUGGAGAAGAAGCGCCGGCUAACUACGUGCCAGCCGCCGCGGUAAUAC